CAUGCUCUAAAUAUUCUCCUUACUCCCUCCACACGCAGAAUUCCCAUCUCGUUAGUCGCUUUGGUAGCUGCUAAAUGGAGAUGAUGAUUAACGGCAAUCAAUCAGCUGCCGUUACUUUGGCGCCAUUUCAACUCGUACCGUUAUCGAAUAAGGGUCUAUUGCCGAGGGUAUUUUUGGAAACAUUCUAACGCCAGGAAUGUAUCAAUUCAAACCACUCUCCCGGCUAUCUACCUACCACCCACCUACGAGGUACCCGACUAGAAGCGAUGGCCGAUUUCAUCCUGCGCAGUCGUGACUUUUACAUCUCUAUGGGAUUGGAUACGUGUGUGGGCGCUUAUACGAAAGUGGCUGCGUACACUUAAAUAUUGGGUAUAUCUACUUGGAACGAUACUACGAACCAGUCAUCGAUUUUCGAAUUGAGCAUCCAAUGGCAGACGAUAUGUCCGUAUGGUUGGUAGAGCAUUUUGUGAAGGAUGCUGGGAAAUUUGAGUGGUUAUCAUAAAAUUAUUGUCCUCUCUUACGGGGAUCCUUUGAGAAAUUUAUAAAGACCAACUAGUCGUUGAGAUGGACCGUUAACGAAGCGUAUACACGAAAACUGCUGAGAUAAAAAUUUACACUGGAAUGAUUUUGCAAACAAUGGGUAGAGAGGAUGUCGACUGUACGCCGCUAUGUGCCAAGUCUGUGUGAUAACGUGGUGGAACGAUAACUCCAUCGACGUGUCCGUUUCCGAUACAAAUGUUAUUAUUUUUCAUGCCACCGAUAUCCGAUGAGCUUCGCUGGCACGAUUCCAGAUCAAUAGCCGCUUUUACACAGUUUAUUUAUUCGUAUACUCGCUUCUCUCGAGUUUUGUAAUGUCAGACCUGGUUAACUUUACUAUAGUCCUUUCCGGUGUUAUCGAGAAAGUCGAUUCCUCCAAGAGGAUUUAUAACAUCCUAUAGCAUAUGCUCGUAUAGCUAGGGCUGAGGGAUGAAAUUCGCCCCCAGAGAAUCUCCACUAAAAUUCAAGAUUAUGGCCACGAGUUAGGAAAGCAACCCUCUUGGCCUUUUUGGUGUUAUCCGCUAAACGGCCAAGUCGAUUCCUUCAGCCUGGUCAGACUUAAAUUUAUUUCUACUCCACAGCAUGGUCCUGAUUGCCAAAUGUGCGUUUGUCAUUUUGGGCAAAGCCUCUGGCCGUUAUUUCCAACGACGUGACGGAUAGAUGCUGGACCAGCCUCAGACUGUCUGAAGGAAUCGCAAUUCGAACGUUAUCAGAGGGUGGAAAGUAUUUGAGACCUCGUGAUAUUUAGUUCCCGGAUGUUCAAGGAUCCAAUCACGACCAGCAUGUAAAAGGUCGAAGGUCGUACCUCAGAGAUACGUUACCGAGGGGAUCUAUUUGGAUAUAUAUCUGGGUACCUCAUAGGAGUCUCGCCACGAGGAGCAAGUGACACUGACAGGAGAAGAAGAGAAAAAUGAACUAAAAAGCCCAGCUAACCGAGUGAGUGAAGAAAAGAAAUAGACAAAUAACCGGGAAGAUCCAUUUGGUGAGAAGUAGCGCAAGAAACAAGAGACGGAAGAAAUACUUUCCUUGAAUCCUUUUAUUUUCAGUAGAGACAGAUGUAGAUAUAUUGUACACUGACCACCGGAAGUACGCACGCAAUCUACGCGAAGACUUGGCGUCUCAUGCGGGGAAUAAAAAAAGAAAAAGAAGAACAAACGCCACAAGGUGCUUUAUAAAUGAUCGAAAAUCAUCACAAUGGCAUUCUCGCUACAGCGCGAAACCUUCACUUCGUACAGAAGGAUUUAUCCCAGCACUGCAGCACUCAAAUAUUCUAUUGUCACGUCUGCAUCCAAGCUUCUAUCCAGAAAUAUCCUUCGAAUCCUGUACUACCACCGUGAAUUGCAAGACCGACCAAAAUUGACAGACGCGCUAUGUGAACUUCAUUUAAUCCUCAAAGGAUUUCGGAGCGAGCUCGCCAGGAUUGCCAGACAGAAAUGUUGACAUACCAGUUGCGGUAUGAGGGACACCCAGAGUAUGCAAACCCUCUGGUAUCUGCGUCGAAUUAGAAAUUCUGAGGUGAGCGCGUAUGGACCUGUACCCACCAUUAGGAUUUUCCUGAGCGAGAUGAGAGUCGACCGAUACGUAAAACCCGUACUGAGAAGACCAUUAUAUAUUAACGAGACUGUGAAAGAGCAGCAAUUACACAAAGUACACAGUUGCCCUUAGUAAUUUGUACGGCGUGUCCUUUGACCAUAUUAAGCAGCUUACAGAGAACGUCGUGUUUUGGUAGUACAAAAGUGGAAAACAGGCGGUAAGGUUGAACGUUAUCGUAAUAGUUUAUAACUUAAAAAUAAUUUUAGCUUGAUCCUUCAGUCAUUAGUAAGGAUUACGGUGAAGGUUAAAAGCAGCUAAUGUGCAUGAAUUAAAUUCCAUAAAAUUUAAAGGUUAGAAAACGGCAACUCUGCAGAAUUACAAAUAUCUACCAACUUUAUGUAGAUAUUAACCACCUACGGUGGAUAUAUAUAUAUAUAUUGGUAUGUAUAAUAAGUAUGGUAAGGUACCUAAUAGGUACGUAGAAGUUGAGUAUAGAACCUUGCACUGGGAAUGGAAAUUUUAUGUAAAUGUAUCAGCAGGCUUGGAAAUGGCGACUCUGGCUAUUUACGUGUCAAACCUUUCUCUGGCAAAAUGCAUCUUAAUGCGAUGCUUUUCUUUCAUUUGCCUUCGAGCUUGGGGUUAUCCCAUGUUUUAUUGGUUGGAAAAUAUUUUUCAUCCUUCCCACCACGCACUGGCGAAAAAAUCCUUAUCAAAGUUAUUCCAAUUUCAUGGUAGACGACGAAGCGUCAUAUCGUACUUCCAAUUUCCUUUGGCGCUGAAUUUUUAUCGUUGAGGAUUAAUACGACGUCCGGUAACUUUAUUCCCGGAAACUCCAUCAUUCGUUAUUCCGUAUGACUGAUUUUCGAUGGGUCAUCUAAUUCUCUUUAUGUGGACAUAUAAUAUUUUACUCGUUUUCGUUGCCUCGUCGUUUUUGCCUGUUCGCCCGUUUCUCUUGGCUCCCGGCCAUCGUUCGUUACCCUGCUACCACUUCGUCAUUUCCUAAUGCCUGGCGGAAAGUCAUUAAUAUAUAUUUUACGGGUAUCGCAGAUUCCUACCUAUUGUCGGUAUUAAAUGCCGCUGGUUAACAAAGCGGCAGGUAGAAUUAACAUUAACGAAAGCUCGUUUAUUAUGCGUUAAUCAUCCCUAGAAAUCCUUGAGCUUUCUGAUCACUGAAAACAGAUAUACCGGGUGGUUCGAUAUUAUCCUUAGAUAAAAAAAUGUUUAGUGACCUUAUAAUACAAAUUUUUUUCAACUAUAAAUUCAGAUCAUUUUAUCCUGUUUCGAACUUUUUCGGAGCUACAAUGAAAAUUACAAUGACUUUCAUGUCCCUUUAACGUUAUAGGAAAAGAUUCUCCUAUCCUGAACUCAAGAAUGAUCUACGAUAUUUCAGGCUUACGCUAAUAUCAGCUAAGUCUUUCUUAUCACUGACUAUGCAUACGAAUCGAUCGAUUUAUCUGCAGGCUCAUACCUCUUGCUAACAUCCGUACGACCAUUGAGCUGAAUUUAAUCUUGUGUGAGAUCGAUAUUUUCCAUGUUCCGUUGUAGUUACACGAUGUCGAGCGUAAAUAACAGUAUCGAAAAAGGUUCGGAUCGAAUAAAUCCUUCAUUGUCCCAAAGGAGUCCUAUCUCGAUUAAUACGGCACCUACCACCGUUGCGAGACUAACGUAAGACGUGAGGUUAGCAGUAAAACAAAAAAUUCGAAAAUUUCAACGAGCCAAAUGCAACUAGUUAAUAAUCCAAAAAAAUCCAUUAUUCAACAUUUAACGAGUAACAGCAGCAAGAUAAACUAUUUUUGCAAGCACUGCAUUUGUUGUCCUAAUAAACAACAAUUGGCAAAUGGAUAAAUUUCAAAAUACUAAAAGAAACUAUACACGAAAGCAAUUUGACUCUGCGGUACAACGUAACAUAUAAAUACAUGAGGUAGCUCAUCAGUAUAUAUAUAUAUGUGUAUCAGAUAUGACAUAUAGUACGUUCCAUUGGCAACAUAUACCGUAAAGAUUAUCCUAUCGAUUUAAUCUACUGGCAAUGUGAAUUAUAAUAAUAAAAUAUUUAAUUGGAUCUUUAAAAGUAAUAUUAACGAAAUAUAAUUAAACAAUAAGGACAAUAUCUGGCGAGUUGUUCUCAAGCAAUAUAACUAGAGCCGAAUAAAAUCUGGAUAGAGAUAUCAUGAUCGGUAAUGGGAAAACUUGAAGAAAAGAAAACUUUGAGCACUUCGUGUCCCUUAUCAAUUUCCCUAAGGUACGUACGCACUCGUAACUUGAUCCGUGGAUAUUGAUAACGACUAUAAGUGCUGAGUAGACUUAAGGAACGCAAACGAAUAGAAAGUAAGUUUUUACGACAUUGACGAAGAGCAUCUGCGAUACAAAGAGACGCAAAUAUCUCUGGAUAAAGUGUCAGGGGUACCAAUCGAUUUUGAGUUCCACUACCAUGUCAUCUGUACAGUACCAACCUAAAGAUACUUUUCCCCUAUAUGACACCGUGGAACGGAAGCAAUAUUCGCACGCUGGAUAAAGCAGACUGGAUCUGUACCAAUAGGUAAAGGAAAGCUGAUAAGAUGAGGUCACGGAUGCUGGAGAGUGCCUCCUAAUCAUAGAUACGUGGCUACGUUCAUUCAAGCUCUAAAACUCAUUCUCGAACACGACCCUAGUUACAGUUCGGUCUUACCUAACGCCUGCUGGAUCUGAUUUCCGGCUUAUUUCGGAGCCUCCUUAUCAGGUCGCAGCGUUAAAGAUUAUUCAAGGUAAUCUCGUUAGCUCCAAACAAAACCGUCUCACGCGAUACUUGACGGUGGAAAAGCUUAAGCAUCGUACACACCGACCGAUCGAUCAUUGCUUGCCUUGUUCCCAAGUGCAAGAUGGCUGCUGAGGUACUCGUAAGGCGUGAAAGAUGAUAAGACAAAUCAAGAGAGACGAACAGAGGCAAAGGUAAAAAUAGACCUAAGGGAAAGAGACGUUGGCACUCUGUCGGCGAACAAUGCAAGUUCGUUACGGGUGUCCGAAUCUAGAGGGUUCAGAUAUUGGCCUUGUUCUCGAGAACUGUAGGUAUCGACUACGAGUACCCUCUAUCGGCUGGAAAUAGAGAGAGAGAGAGAAAAAAUCGAUCGAUAACCAAUUUGCUGCUCUUUUCCGUGGACUCUUGUAUAACGAACGUAACACGUUAAUAUACGAACGUAUGUUCCUUCGGCAGAUCUCGAGAGUGGUGCACUCUGGGUAAUCGUUGGAUACGGGAAGAGCAGCGUGCUUCGUACGAGUCUGCUUUUUAGGUUAGGUUGCUUACUUUAAACCUUGAUUGUACAUUGUAAUACACUUUUUUUUUCUCUUA